rnacentral:sRNA from 12 species
AAAAAUCUUACUAACUAUAUUAGCAACACAAUUUGUACUAUAGAUAAAAUCUUAAGUACAGUCGCUCUGCUCGAAGCGAUACAGCGGUUUAACUGGUGUUAUGAAUUGAAGCAAUGCGAGAGUCGGCAUUUUAACAGGCUUGGCGGUGUCCUGUGUGGGUGCUUUGUAAAUGGUAGAAAUAGAAAGUAAGCUAUGCCAUUAGUUGCUGGGCGGGACUAGCAACAGCAAGCGAAUUAGCUUGAUACAAAGUAAGU